rnacentral:rRNA from 1 species
AGCCAUGCGAGUCAUUGUAGCAAUACAAGGCAGACGGCUCAGUAACGCGUAGUCAACCUACCCUAUGGACGGGAAUAACCUCGGGAAACUGAGAAUAAUGCCCGAUAGAACACUAUGCCUGGAAUGGUUUGUGUUCCAAAUGAUUUAUCGCCGUAGGAUGGGACUGCGGCCUAUCAGUUUGUUGGUGAGGUAAUGGCCCACCAAGACUAUUACAGGUACGGGCUCUGAGAGGAGUGGCCCGGAGAUGGGUACUGAGACACGGACCCAGGCCCUAUGGGGCGCAGCAGGCGAGAAAACUUUGCAAUGUGCGAAAGCACGACAAGGUUAAUCCGAGUGGUUUCUGCUAAAGGAACCUUUUGUCAGUCCUAGAAACACUGAUGAAUAAGGGGUGGGCAAGUUCUGGUGUCAGCCGCCGCGGUAAAACCAGCACCUCAAGUGGUCAGGAUGAUUAUUGGGCCUAAAGCAUCCGUAGCCUGCUUUGUUAGUUUUCGGUUAAAUCUGUACGCUCAACGUACAGGCUGCCGGGAAUACUGCAGAGCUAGGGAGUGGGAGAGGUAGACGGUACUCGGUAGGAAGGGGUAAAAUCCUUUGAUCUAUUGAUGACCACCUGUGGCGAAGGCGGUCUACCAGAACACGUCCGACGGUGAGGGAUGAAAGCUGGGGGAGCAAACCGGAUUAGAUACCCGGGUAGUCUCAGCCGUAAACCAUGCAAACUCAGUGAUGCAUUGGCUUGUGGCCAAUGCAGUGCUGCAGGGAAGCCGUUAAGUUUGCCGCCUGGGAAGUACGUACGCAAGUAUGAAACUUAAAGGAAUUGGCGGGGGAGCACCACAAGGGGUGAA